rnacentral:rRNA from 1 species
CCCUUAGAUGUUCUGGGCCGCACGCGCGCUACACUGACUACUUCAACGAGUUGUUUCCUUGAUCGAAAGGUCUGGGUAAUCUUUGAAAGGUAGUCGUGAUGGGGAUAGAUCCUUGCAAUUUUUGAUCUUCAACGAGGAAUUCCUAGUAAACGCAAGUCAUCAGCUUGCAUUGAUUACGUCCCUACCCUUUGUACACACCGCCCGUCGCACCUACCGAUUGAAUGGUCCGGUGAAUCUUUAGGACUGUGGCUGAGGCCUUGCCUUGUGCGGGUCUGGCCGUGGGAAUUUAGUUAAACCUUACCAUUUAGAGGAAGGUGAAGUCGUAACA